CGCCCCUACCAUCAAAAGCUGAUGCUAUAAUUAAACACUAUCGCAUUAUAGUAAGAUUGCAGCAUCCCGUCCAAACGCGGUUAUUUUCUUUCUAUAAAAAACACCAUGACUCCACAUCGCACCGCACGUAGCUUCAACGGCAGCUUCAACCACCUUAAAAUCCUGAACGGCCUCGACCAAAUGGAGAAUUUACAGUUAGGUAUGAAUAACAAUGCUGUCAUUCGAAAAAUGGAGGCGUUGCCGCCAUCGGUCCUCUUCGCCGCUAAUUUUAUGUAAGUAAGCGCUUUAAUUGUAAUAAUAAACUUCAAAUCACUAUUUCAGCUCUAAAUAAAAACACCCUACAUUUUG